rnacentral:tRNA from 1 species
GGGGUUGUAGCUCAGUGGUGGAGCGCUUGCCUCAUAAGUAAGAGGUACUUGGUUCUAUUCUCAGCACCA